rnacentral:tRNA from 1 species
GGUUUGUGACUCAGUGGUAGAGCACUUGCCUAAUAUGUGUGAGGCACUGGGUUCGAUUCUCAGCACCA